CAGUAGCCGCGGGAAUACGGAGGGGGCUAGCGUUGUUCGGAAUUACUGGGCGUAAAGCGCACGUAGGCGGCUUGGUAAGUUAGAGGUGAAAGCCCGGAGCUCAACUCCGGAAUUGCCUUUAAGACUGCCGAGCUAGUAGGUGAGAGAGGUAAGUGGAAUUCCGAGUGUAGAGGUGAAAUUCGUAGAUAUUCGGAAGAACACCAGUGGCGAAGGCGGCUCACUGGACUGGUAUUGACGCUGAGGUGCGAAAGCGUGGGGAGCAAACAGGAUUAGAUACCCCCGUAGUCCCUGUCUCUUAUAA
rnacentral:rRNA from 1 species